rnacentral:misc_RNA from 1 species
UUUCCGUAGGUGAACCUGCGGAAGGAUCAUUAACGAGAUCAUGCCCUCACGGGUAGACCUCCCACCCUUGAAUAUCAUACCUUCGUUGCUUUGGCGGGCCGCCUCGGCCACCGGCUUAGGCUGGUGAGUGCCCGCCAGAGGACCCUAAACUCUGAAUCAUGGUGUCGUCUGAGUACUAUAUAAUAGUCAAAACUUUCAACAACGGAUCUCUUGGUUCUGGCAUCGAUAAGAACGCAGC